rnacentral:lncRNA from 1 species
UUAAAUUGUAGAUAUAUGUGGGAGAAAAGCCAGAGCGGCUAAUGGUCAUUGUCACAAAAAGACGUAGUUUUCCUGUCAACAUUUUAUCCGAAAUAAUACUUAAGUAAAAUACAGGGAAACAAUUGGAGGGGUUACAGUCAAUGAUCCCCAUUCAGAGGUCAAGAGGGAAGUUUUGAGAAUGGAAAGAAAUCUGACCUAAGUGGGCACCACCUUUUUUUUCUUUCUUUCUUUCUUUUUGGUACCAGGAAUUGAGCCCAAAGGUGCUUAACUACUGAGCCAUAUCCCCAGCCUUUUUUGUAUUUUAUUUAGAGACAGGGUCUUGCUAAGUUGGUCAGGGCCGUGCUAUGUUGCUCUGGCUUUGAACUCUGAGAUUCUCCUGCCUCAGCCUCCCAACCUGGGAUUACAGGCGUGUGCCGCUGGGCCCCUACUUUUGAUACCAUAUCAUAAUGUUAGUGGAUAUUCCUGGAUUUGAAGUUAAGAAAUGGGAUUUUGUUGUGGCUGUUGCUGCUGCUGCUGCUGUUCUGGAGAUUGAACCCAGGGCCUCACACAUGCUUAACACUGACUUUAUGUCUAGCUAUCUCUCCAGAGGUCCUGGCCCCUAUAGGGAUUUUAAAAUAAGUUGUAAUAAAGAUGGAACAAGUAAAAUUGUAUGUAGCCCUGCUCUACUCCGAAGCUAGUUUUAAAUGAUGUUUCUGACACAGUCUCUGGAAUUGUAAGCUGAUGGUCUCCAGAAGCAUCUAGCUGAAUCUGAUUAUAUUUUUGUAUUUAGCCUUAUUCUUCCAUACUUUUGUUUUAGAAUUGAAAGUAGAUUCAUUUAUCUUCUUUUCAAAGAACUCUCUUGCCUUACUUUGACUUUUUUUUUUUUUUCCCUUCCACUUCCCAAAGUUUUAGUCCAGCCCAAAUAUCCUUUUAGCAAAAUUCCCAGGACCUCAUUGGACCAGUUUGCAGCCAGUCUCAUCUCAUUAUUGA